CAACUCACCUGGCCGGGGAGAUGCCAGGCUCACGAUGGUGGUUUUCCCAGGGCGAGGCUUAUCCGUUGCUCUCUGGGUGUACUGACCCCGCGACUUCCCCAAGUGUGGGAAACCGCUGCAUGAUUUGUGGCAGUGGGAGACUGUGUUCAUGCCCUCCCC